AUUGAACGCUGGCGGCAGGCUUAACACAUGCAAGUCGAGCGGGGGAAGGUAGCUUGCUACUGGACCUAGCGGCGGACGGGUGAGUAAUGCUUAGGAAUCCGCCUAUUAGGGGGGGACAACAUCUCGAAAGGGAUGCUAAUACCGCAUCCGUCCUACGGGAGAAAGCAGGGGAUCUUCGGACCUUGCGAUAAUAGAUGGGCCUAAGUCGGAUUAGCUAGUGGGUGGGGUAAAGGCCUACCAAGGCGACGGUCUGUAGCGGGUCUGAGAGGAUGAUCCGCCACACUGGGACUGAGACACGGCCCAGACUCCUACGGGAGGCAGCAGUGGGGAAUAUUGGACAAUGGGGGGAACCCUGAUCCAGCCAUGCCGCGUGUGUGAAGAAGGCCUUAUGGUUGUAAAGCACUUUAAGCGAGGAGGAGGCUACUUUAGUUAAUACCUAGAGAUAGUGGACGUUACUCGCAGAAUAAGCACCGGCUAACUCUGUGCCAGCCGCCGCCGUAA
rnacentral:rRNA from 1 species